UUUUCUGUCUUCAAGUUCCUCUCUUCCCUGCGUCAAAGUGAGCAGUAACCAACAUGUCAGGGUGGGAGUCUUAUUACAAAACUGAGGGCGAUGAUGAAGAAGAAGAACAAGAGAGCUUUGAAGCGGGUGGAGAAUAUAAAUAUUCAGGAAGAGAUAGUUUGAUUUUUUUGGUCGAUGCCUCCAGGGCCAUGUUUGAAUCUCUAGGUGAAGACGAAUUGACUCCUUUUGAUAUGAGCAUCCAGG